rnacentral:rRNA from 1 species
CCUACGGGAGGCAGCAGUGGGGAAUAUUGGGCAAUGGGCGCAAGCCUGACCCAGCAACGCCGCGUGAAGGAAGAAGGCUUUCGGAUUGUAAACUUCUUUUAAGAGGGAAGAGCAGAAGACGGUACCUCUUGAAUAAGCCACGGCUAACUACGUGCCAGCAGCCGCGGUAAUACGUAGGUGGCAAGCGUUGUCCGGAUUUACUGGGUGUAAAGGGCGUGCAGCCGGGAAGACAAGUCAGAUGUGAAAUCCCGCGGCUCAACCGCGGAACUGCAUUUGAAACUGUUUGUCUUGAGUACCGGAGAGGUCAUCGGAAUUCCUUGUGUAGCGGUGAAAUGCGUAGAUAUAAGGAAGAACACCAGUGGCGAAGGCGGAGGACUGGACGGCAACUGACGGUGAGGCGCGAAAGCGUGGGGAGCAAACAGGAUUAGAUACCCCUGUAGUC